ACAUGCUGCUCACUGAGAAGGCCUAGAAACAGUCAUCAAACCUAGCACUGAGCACCCACAGUACUGUACUGUGGUCUCUAAAUACCAUUUCCCAUGUAAAAAGUCCAAGGGCUCCUUGUUUGAAUGGCUGAUCCCAGGUCAGAGCAGGAAAGCACUCAAGAAAUUACGCAGAGAGUAUCGGAAGAGGACAGGAUUACGGCCCAUAGAUUCCGCCCUGUGACCUCGGGCCGGGCACAUGGAGGAGUGGAAACACCAGCACGUGGCAAGGGUCAGGGCCGGGAAGGUGGCCCCGGGGUGCAGAGGGGCCGGGACCGAGGACAGCCGGCCCUCGGGGAGGAGCCAAGACUCGGGGAGCACUGCGUCCACACCGCUCGCCUGCACACACACACUGUGCUUCCCGCAGACACAAGCCCCCGAGUUUCUAGAAGGCAGGGACUCGGGCGGAGCUCCUUUUUUUCUCAACACAGUACACAGGACUGGGCCCCCGACGGAAGCUGCCCUCGUGCCUGUGGUUGGAGGACUUCAUUCACUGUCAGAAAUAUUUACCGAGGCCUACGUGAACCAGGGGUUUUAAUCAGGAGUCCACAUUCUCCCAGAGAAUCCAGGGGGUCCGGGAACUUGCACAGGAAGAUAGAGAUAUUUUUAUUUUCGCUGAUCUCUACCUGAAAAUCAGCACUUCUUGCGACAGCGAAUGGACGCAAACGCCAGGGACAGACCCGGGACUCGGUCACAGAUUAGAGAUACACUCUGAUGUGACCUUCGGUUUGUCCCAGCGAUCUCAAAACCGCACCGAUCGCCCGUGGCUACUUUGAAAUUGUAGAAUGGUCGUCAGAACUGCCGGGAGAUCUUAUUACAAAAUGCAUUAAAAAGAAGAACACACAGUUUUAAAAUUGGGGCCCUCGGUGAGGCUGCCGGGGAAGCCGUGCAACAGCAAACAGCCUUCAUGCAGGUAACAAUGACGCGGGCACCCCGCCAGCCCCCCGCUUGCUUCAGGAUAUCUGUAAAAUUACAUGUAAAAG